rnacentral:tRNA from 1 species
GGCGGUCUGGUGGAAUGGCAGACACGCUUGACUCAAAAUCAAGUGCUCGCAAGGGCGUGCAGGUUCAAGUCCUGUGACCGCUACCA